rnacentral:rRNA from 1 species
GUAACAGUGGCGUACGGGUGGAGUAACACGUGGGGAUCUACCUCCUGGUGGGGAAUAACUCUGGGAAACCGGAGCUAAUACCGCAUAAGCAGGGAACUGGAAAGCCGAAAGGCGCCGGAAGAGGAGCCCGCGGCCGAUUAGCUAGUUGGUGAGGUAACGGCUCACCAAGGCAAAGAUCGGUAGCCGGCCUGAGAGGGCACACGGCCACACUGGCACUGAAACACGGGCCAG